rnacentral:rRNA from 1 species
GACGAACGCUGGCGGCGUGCUUAACACAUGCAAGUCGAACGGAAAGGCCCUGCUUUUGUGGGGUGCUCGAGUGGCGAACGGGUGAGUAACACGUGAGUAACCUGCCCUUGACUUUGGGAUAACUUCAGGAAACUGGGGCUAAUACCGGAUAGGAGCUCCUGCUGCAUGGUGGGGGUUGGAAAGUUUCGGCGGUUGGGGAUGGACUCGCAGCUUAUCAGCUUGUUGGUGGGGUAGUGGCUUACCAAGGCUUUGACGGGUAGCCGGCCUGAGAGGGUGACCGGCCACAUUGGGACUGAGAGACGGCCCAGACUCCUACGGGAGGCAGCAGUGGGGAAUAUUGCACAAUGGGCGGAAGCCUGAUGCAGCAACGCCGCGUGCGGGAUGACGGCCUUCGGGUUGUAAACCGCUUUCGCCUGUGACGAAGCGUGAGUGACGGUAAUGGGUAAAGAAGCACCGGCUAACUACGUG